UGAACCAUGGUCAGCCAUAUGGGAACAUCCAGCGCCUUAACCACCACACCACCUGCUGAUCCCUCUACCGUUUUACAUGAGUCCCUCAGACUUGUUCUAGUCCACUACAUUCCUCUCAGUGGAGUAAUCUCUUACUUUUCCAGUGAGUUAUUCAUUUCAAUUAGCAUAUUCUUCAUAAAUACUUAUAAUCAGCCUGUUUGUUUUUAUAUGGUCUUUUUUUUUUACAUUAUGGUUUCUAAUAUUUAUUCUCUUACAUUUUUUCAGUGGUAGCUCUGGUGGUAGGACCCCACUGUGCUAUAUUGGAGCGUAUGGGAAGGCCUUGGGGUCAGAUCCCAGGUCAGCCUGAAUGUGCUGGGCAACAUGUGAUAAUGGCAGGAUCACGGCAUGGUGGGACUGCGAGGGUGUCCCCACCCACCUCCUUACACAAAAUCAGUACCCUUUUUAUAAAAAUUGUGUAUGGUCUCUUAAAUAAUUUUAACCAUUUACAGAUUGCUCUGUUAUUUCCCAUCUCGGUGUGCUGAUAAUUCUCCCUUUGGAGUGCUGGUCGUUCUCCCUGGUAACUGUCUAUUUUCCUCUGCGCUUCAUCAUUUUUGAUCCGGAAUCCCCCUCCAGUUGGGCUGUGUUGUUGAUGCUGGGGCUGGUGUACCUUCAGUUAGAGAGUGUUGUUGAUGCUGGGGCUGGUGUACCUUCAGUUAGUGUUGUUGAUGCUGAGGUUGGUGUACCUUUGGUUAGAGAGUGUUGUUGAUGCUGAGGUUGGUGUACCUUCAGCUAGAGAGUGUUGUUGAUGCUGGGGCUGGUGUACCUUCAGCUAGAGAGUGUUGUUGAUGCUGGGGCUGGUGUACCUUCAGCUAGAGAGAGUUGUUGAUGCUGGGGUUGGUGUACCUUCAGUUAGAGAGUGUUGAUGCUGGAGUUGGUGUGCCUUCAGUUAGAGAGUGUUGUUGAUGCUGAGGUUGGUGUGCCUUCGGUUAGAGAGUGUUGUUGAUGCUAAGGUUGGUGUACCUUCAGUUAGAGAGUGUUGUUGAUGCUGAGGUUGGUGUGCCUUCGGUUAGAGAGUGUUGUUGAUGCUAAGGUUGGUGUACCUUCAGAGUUAGAGAGUUGUUGAUGCUGAGGUUGGUGUGCCUUCAGCUAGAGAGGGUUGUUGAUGCUGGACUGGUGUACCUUCAGGUUAGAGAGUGUUGUUGAUGCUGGGGCUGGUGUACCUUCAGGUUAGAGAGGGUUGUUGAUGCUGGGGCUGGUGUACCUUCAGUUAGAGAGCCUCGCUCCAGGAGGGGCCACAGGA